AUGAUCACUUUGGCAGCACAUACACUAACAUUGGAAUGAUACAGAGUAGAGUAGCAAGGCCCCUGCAAAAGAAUGCAACACAAAUUCGAGAAGCAGUCCGUAUUUUU
ensembl:snRNA U6 U6 spliceosomal RNA